rnacentral:rRNA from 1 species
GACGAACGCUGGCGGCGUGCUUAACACAUGCAAGUCGAACGGAAAGGCCCUGCUUUUGUGGGGUGCUCGAGUGGCGAACGGGUGAGUAACACGUGAGUAACCUGCCCUUGACUUUGGGAUAACUUCAGGAAACUGGGGCUAAUACCGGAUAGGAUCUCCUGCUGCAUGGUGGGGGUUGGAAAGUUUCGGCGGUUUGGGAUGGACUCGCGGCUUAUCAGCUUGUUGGUGGGGUAGUGGCUUACCAAGGCUUUGACGGGUAGCCGGCCUGAGGGGGUGACCGGCCACAUUGGGACUGAGAUACGGCCCAGACUCCUACGGGAGGCAGCGGUGGGGAAUAUUGCACAAUGGGCGGAAGCCUGAUGCAGCAACGCCGCGUGCGGGAUGACGGCCUUCGGGUUGUAAACCGCGUUCGACUGUGACGAAGCGUGAGUGACGGUAAUGAGUAAAGAAGCACCGGCUAACUACGUG